rnacentral:rRNA from 1 species
UGAAAACAAAAAAGAAAUAAAAAAAUUAAAACUGUGGAAAAAAGAAACCUAUCAUAGCCUAUACGAGACAUCUCGUGAUUUUUUUUUGACAAACCUCUUGGUUUGUCUUUAAGAGAUUUCAUAAUCACGGGAAGGAAGCUGGGACCACGUCAAGUCAUCAUGGCCCAUAUGGAGUGGGCUACACGUGUGUGACAUGGACCGUUUCAAUGCGUCAAGGUUAAAAACCUUGGUCUAGGAAAAACGGUCAUAGUACGGAUGAUUGUUUGCAACUCAGCAAUCUGAAGCAGGAAUCGCCAGUAAUCGCGGAUUAGCCCGCCGCGGUGAAACUUAGAGGCUUACCCGGGGCAUUCACCGCCCGUCACGUUCGGAAAGUGGUGUGUGCUGGAAAGAGAUCUCUUUUCUUUUCGCAGUUUGUCUAAACCUUGUAGGUUUACAGGAAACACAGAAAGUCUAAGGAACUUCUUGGGACACUAUGCUUGCAGGGCUAAAGCCAAAGGCCAAAGGCUUAAGGCCUUUAGAUCUUUAACUUUUAGAGCUUAGUGUUUCAAGGAUUACGUUG